AGCGAACGCUGGCGGCAGGCUUAACACAUGCAAGUCGAGCGGGCACUUUCGGGUGUCAGCGGCGGACGGGUGAGUAACGCGUGGGAACGUGCCCUCUGGUUCGGAAUAACUCAGGGAAACUUGAGCUAAUACCGGAUACGCCCUUUUGGGGAAAGGCUUGCUGCCGGAGGAUCGGCCCGCGUCUGAUUAGCUAGUUGGUGAGGUAACGGCUCACCAAGGCGACGAUCAGUAGCUGGUCUGAGAGGAUGAUCAGCCACACUGGGACUGAGACACGGCCCAGAAUCCUACGGGAGGCAGCAGUGGGGAAUAUUGGACAAUGGGCGCAAGCCUGAUCCAGCCAUGCCGCGUGAGUGAUGAAGGCCUUAGGGUUGUAAAGCUCUUUUAUCCGGGACGGUAAUGACGGUACCGGAGGAAUAAGCCCCGGCUAACUUCGUG
rnacentral:rRNA from 1 species